AUCAUCGCUGUUUAAAAAAUUUGGUCAGUAGGGGUGAGCAAGUACACCAUUAUCUGUAUGUUCAACCAGCUAAAUUAUUAAUCUGUAAAUAAUUAAUCUGUAUUCGUAUCCGUACUCGGAGUGGGCGAGGCUUAAACUGGAAGUGGGUGGGGCCUAACCAGAAGUGGAAAUGGAAAGCCUGAAAUGGAUAUGGGUUGAAACAGCGAGAGUUGCAAGCUGUUAAUCCCUGUAGACAGAGUGGAUAUGACGAUGGCAAGAUAGUGUUCUGUAGCACAGAAGUAGUGAACUUUGUAUAGGCUCUAUGUAGGGGAGGAGCUCUGUGUGUGGCUGGACUACCACAGAAUGAUAUGGACACAGGUUCCCAACGAGCAUUUUCCUCCAUUACGAAUACGGAUAUUGACACAUUUUACUUGGAUGAUACUCAUGCUCGUAAAAAGUACAUUAGCCUUACUGGAUACUCGUUUCAUCUAAUUAUUUGGUUCAACCCUAUUGGGUUAGAUGCACACUGUUAGUAACGCACCUGAUUGAAGUGGCUCUCAUAUUCCAGGUGGUGCAGAAGACAGAGCCGACACACAAAGCAGGCUUAAAAUGCAGGACUCUGAUGUAGAACCAACACAUUGUCUGACAUUUUUUGAGACCUUGCCAAGAUCGCUUGUGGUUGGAUUAAAAGCAUCCAAGUUCAUCUAAAAGGGCAAACUCAUCACUCCCAGUGAUCAGGAGGAAGUGAUUUCACCAGGAUCCAGCUGCAUAAGCCACUGCUGAGUCCAACACUCAUACAUCAAUACAACACAUCACCUGGUAAGCUUGCGCUGUUCGACAUAAUUUAAUUCUGUUGGGAUGCAACAACGAAAAUGAGACUAUAAGUUGCUAGCCACCUCAGCACGCCCACCACCCCUACUUCCCAACUAUGCGUGAGUGUAGCAAUAGUAGUAGUAGUCACGUCUUUAUCUCCGUUUUCUUUAAAUUCAUGUUAGAAGGGUGCCUUGUGGUGUUUCUUGAGCUUAGUAACAGACUGUAGCAAUCAAUCUGACACAACAACGUCCCCUUUGUUUCAGCUGCGUUUAUCCUCAUCACUCCCUACAAUGUCUUCCAGCUGAUUAGCAUGCUGUGCACUGCGGAGGGAUGAUUAGUAGUUAGCUGUGAUGUGGUGUUUUUCCAGGUCAUCUUCAAUUACAACGUGCAAUGUGUGAAAUCAGUAUGUCAGCACUAAUCUCUGUGCCUUCAGCUUCAACAUCCCUGCUUCUCAUUAAUGAUGUUUUAGGACAAAAUAAACUGGGUUUAACAGACAAUUUCCCUUUACACAGUAUAACUGCCUCGCUUUUCCUUCUCCAUCACUUGUUUCCCUUUAUUCAGAAGAAGCCAGUUGCUGCUGUUCAGUCCUGUACAGUAUGAAAAAACAGCUUUCACUGAAGGACAGAAUCCAUCUCAUUAGCUUUACUCAGGGGUUGUUAUUUAUUAUAAUUUUAUUAUGUUGACAGUUGGCAUGCUUCCUGAAUCACACACAUCUGACAACUUUAUUGUCAAGUCCUUUUUAUGAAGGGUGUCUUUGAAAAGCAGUUAAAGGUACAUACAGCAUGUAGCAGGGUCGGACUGGGAACAAAAUUCGGCCCUGGCAAUUUUCGUGUGGACCGGCCCCGUUUUUCUCCAACAUACACACUUAUGAAGCAAUAUCAGGCUAUUUAUAACAUACAUAAACUAAGCAAUAGAUAUCAAGUUGGCACCCUAACAACAUGUGUACUUACAGGGUUUCAUAAAGUAAUGUAAUAAAUAAAUAGCCAAAAAAUAGCCUAGAGGAAAAGUCGGCACUCCAAGAGGUGCACUUAAGAUUUUAUUUGUUUGACAGUUGAUAUGGGCAGCCCAGCUCUCAGCGCACUUUUGCUACAAUCCGUAACUUCACAAAUAAAAUAAAUAUGACAUAAUUAUAUGUCAUGAAUAUAGUCUAUGACAAAAUGCAAUGCUGUCAUCAUGAAACAAAAGAGCCAAAACUCAAUUUUCACACUGGACAAAAGCCUUGCUAUGAUGAUCUGGAAAUGUGAGAGCUAUUUAUAGUCGAUCAACCGACCUUGUGUUCACAGCUCAUCUAAUGCAAUUCACACAUCAGGCUUAACAGUCAGGAUUUCAUGCUACCGACACUAUUUAAACAUUCAUUCACUGCUAUUAUCAGGCUGUGACAAGCAGCAUGCCUGCACCCCAUUGGAGCGAACCCAGAGUAUAAACGUCAACCACAGUGAUACAGAUGUUGAACAUGUCACAACUUGGCACUUGAAAAAAAAACAGGAGACACACAGGUCAGCACCACCUCAGCCUAACUGCCAAGGGAAAAACAAGUUGGGCCACUGCUGAUGACGUCAUACCAUUGACUGCAAGGUGGUGAUGGAGUGAUGGCCUGUGUAUGGAGAGUAGCUGUAAUUUUGGAAUACAACCAACAAAGAACCAAGGAAAGGAGUUAUGAAGCACAAGCCUAUGCCUGAAACCCUGAGAAACGCCAGCUUAAUGGAACUACAACAUGUUCUCUGCUCACCAUCCACUGUCUGGGCUGCUUUUCCAUUGGUCAGGUGCAUUGAAAGGCCAAUCAUCUAACCUCCCACUUGCAGCUGGUGGACAAACAGAGGAAGAAGAAGACAAAAGCGUAACAAGAGGAAAACAACAGAUAAAAGAUAGAAAGAAGCUCAAACAGAAUGAAGGAGUGCGGGAAGGGAGAGACGUACAUAUGGAGUCAAGGACAGACAGACAAACAGAUAAAGGGAGGAGAGGAAGUACGUCUCACUGUUAGUCCACAGCAGGGACUUGUGUAGCCUUGGCAUGCGAUGUUAUCAGGGGCAGGAGUCAACCUUUUUUUUACCUUUCAGUCUUUCUUUACCACUCUUUUGUCCAUGCUAUGUUGCUACUGUGUUAAGGCCCAGUCACACCAGCAUCUAAAAUGAUGAGAAUUCACUGUGGAAUUGAUUUAUUUCUAUGGAAUUGCCACAAUAAGUGGAUAUGCACACAGGGUUGAAGUUAGUCCGUGCAAAUCUUUCACAUCAAGUUCAACUUUGGUGAACUUUGACAUGGGAGGUCGCACUUUUCACCAAUAACAAACCGUCUAACAGCUAGGUUCCAUCAAAAUCCAACUUUUAACCAAGUUUCCAGGAAAUCAGCAAACGAUAAAUCUAAUUAACGCAUUUCCAUCCACUAUUUGUUAAGUCUAUUUCCAUUGAACUUUGUCGCAUUUCACUUUUAUCAAUAUGCUGUUUGUCUGUGUUUUCACUCACAUUUUUUUUAUGCACAAAUUAAAAAUGCUAAGAAAAACAAGUGCAGAAUCAGAGAAAGCUUAUAGCUUAUUAGCUUUGUUGUAUCAUGCACUUUUAUUUAACUCUGUUCUACCAGAGUAUAAGUGCUCCACAAGACAAGCAUGUGGUGUAGGCAGUUAAGUGACACAAGUCUAGAAUAUACGUUUCUUAAAGAUAUUGUGUGAAUCUAUCAUCACAUUAGUCACACAGCUAGCUAAAAUUGCUGGCAAGCUAACUAGCUUGGAGAGUUAUGGUAAUUAAAUAGGACUUGCAUGUUCCCUGCUGGCUAAGUUGUUAGCUACAGUAGUUCAUCAACUACUACACGCACAUUUCUAGCAUCAUUUAUUUAGCAAGGAUGCACAGAUGAACUUUGCUGUAUGUGCCCUAGCCUUUCCCUGCAAAUCAUUUUG